rnacentral:rRNA from 1 species
GACGUAGGAGGCGAGCGUAUCCGGAUUCACUGGGCGUAAAGCACAUGUAGGCGGCUGGACAAGUCGUGUGUUAAAGCCCCUGGCUCAACUGGGGGGAGGUCAUGCGAGACUGUACGGGCUGGAGGGCAACAGAGGCACGUGGAACUCCCGGUGUAGCGGUGGGAAUGCGUAGAGAUCCGGAAGAACACCGGUGGCGAAGGCGGCCUGCUGGGCAGUUGCUGACACUGAGGCGCGACAGCGUGGGGGAGCAAACAGG